rnacentral:rRNA from 1 species
AUUGAACGCUGGCGGCAUGCUUUACACAUGCAAGUCGAACGGUAACAGGUCGCAAGGUGCUGACGAGUGGCGCACGGGUGAGUAAUGCAUCGGAACGUGCCCAGUCGUGGGGGAUAACUACUCGAAAGAGUAGCUAAUACCGCAUACGAUCUAUGGAUGAAAGCGGGGGACCGUAAGGCCUCGCGCGAUUGGAGCGGCCGAUGUCAGAUUAGGUAGUUGGUGGGGUAAAGGCUCACCAAGCCAAAGAUCUGUAGCUGGUCUGAGAGGACGACCAGCCACACUAGGACGGGGCCAGGGCCAAGGCUCCUACGGGAGGCAGCAGUGGGGAAUGUGGGACAAUGGGCGCAAGCCUGAUCCAGCAAUGCCGCGUGCAGGAAGAAGGCCUUCGGGUUGUAAACUGCUUUUGUACGGAACGAAACGGCUCUGGUUAAUACCCGGGGCUAAUGACGGUACCGUAAGAAUAAGCACCGGCUAACUACGUG